AGUGGGAUAAGCUAAAUAUACAAGCUGUUGGGCUCAUAACCCAAAAAUAGAACCAUCUUCCCAUUA
rnacentral:tRNA from 1 species